ACAGCAGUCAAAAGGACUUUCUUCCGCGUUGAAAUUGGAUGCAGAAAAUGGGGCAGUGAAGGCACUAGACUUGGGAUACUAGAAGGCAACAAAUGCCAAAGAAGACAUCUGCUUGUUUAAAAAUAUGACUGAAAGAUUACUAUUGAAUAGAAGAGCAUCACCUCCUAGAUCAACAUCUACCUUCCUCUUGCCCUCUGCUGCUACACAGGAAAAGCGUGAGGCUGGAAACAGUGACUUCCAGGCAUCUGAGAUGACACAACAUAGAUUGCCAAAUUGCAUGCCACCCUGCAGUUGCCAAGGAGAUAAUAAAUCUAUGAAACUAUUAUCAUAAAUAAAGAGAACCUCAGCCAGAAAAUAAGAUAUUAAUGACAUGAAGAAAGAACACCAUGGAGUGAGCACAAUAAUCGGAUUGUGGAGAGCUUUCCAACUGAGGAAGAACAUUAUGUGAAUGAUGCCACCACCAUCUCAUCCUCCAUUUCUGUCACUCAACAUUUCUAAUCCAUCGUUAAAGCUUUAGGCUUAAAAGUAUGGGUUUUGUUGGCCCAGCCCUGCAACCUACCAGAUAAAUGAUUUGGGGAAGAUCACUUGAUCUCUAUCAAUUUCCUUAUUGGUAAAACAUGGAUUCCAACAGGACACAUCUUUUAUUCUCGAAACCAUCCUAUUAAUCCAAAUCACCUGCAUCAGUAAGAGAGUAGAUACUCUAAGAAGUAGUGAGGAUAUGAAAGGGUACAACCACAACAGUGAAGAUCAACUCAGAUACUGGAAGGACAGAAUCAAAGGCAGAAUUAAGGUUGUGGCCCAGCCUGCCAAGAGGAGUUACUGAAUCAGAGUGGACUUAGCCAAUUGCAUGUGCUCAACCAAGCAUUUACUGACAAUGGCAACUACUCCAUCCAAGUGAUAUAUUUAAGGGAACAAAUAGAAGAUUAUUGGUUCUCUUCCCACCUUGGGAAAUUCUGCAAAAUUACUCAAGUGUUGAUAACAUUCCAUUAUAGCACUAGGGCAAGUUCACUUUGCAAAAAUGAAAAGAACUAUGCCAACUCAUCACAAAUAGAAAAAAUAUGUAUAUAAAAUAUGUCUCCA